CCCCCCCACCCCCCAAAAGAUGUUCCAGGGACCCCAACGACCAUCUAUCCGGGGGCCCUUGUCGCUUAUACUCAGUACACUUGUAGACAAACGAGAUACUGCAGACUAGAGAUCUUCAGGGCCCCUAAAUCAGCGGAGCCCCAGGUGACCGCCAAGUCCGCCUACCGUUCGAUCCGUCGCUGGUUCAUGACAGUGUUUUUUUGUUGUUGUGGAGGUGCAUCCCUCCCCCUGCCUGCAGCAUCGGGCAGGAGACAGUGUGGCAGUAUGCAAGUUGCCCGCUGGAUAGGAGCGGUCCCGUGGCACCUCAUUCCGCACAUCUACAUGCCCGUCGUGGGUUCUAACCGCGUAUGAACCGUCCGCCGUAGCAAAAAGUGACUAUCCGGCGACGUGGUACUCAAGUCCUGAAAAGGCCAACAUGAUCGCGUAGGCCGUAAUGACACGAAUAAUAAUAAUAAAAAGACCUUUGAAUCGCCAUCCGUACCGGGGAAGAGUUUGUUUUGACUUUGUUGCUGCCGGGUCUACAGACGUGGCGCGACAAAUGCACGGAAUACACUCGACCAAAGGACAUGAACCUACCGAGCCUUACCCAUUCCAAGGCAGUGCCGGUCGCACGGCGUCAUGAUACCGACCCCAAGCCAACAAGCCGCCAGAUUCUGGACGGACAGGUGCAGCACCAAAUGCGCACCGUAAUAAACAAAUCCAGAAUUCUCUUUUGUUUGGAUUCAAUUCAAAAUGUUGUUUCCACUUGUGUCCGCUAUAUGAAUUGGAAAGAAAUAUGCUACACAUCACAUGCACGUUUGCUUCGAUCGUGUGUCUUUUUGAAACCGCCAUCAGCAGAGCCGGUCGCAAAAAUAGUGGUGCCAAUCCAAUGGUUGGGUUGUCUCGCAGAUAGUGAGAUCGAAAAUGCAUGGACUUUGUAGCCGUAUUGGAUGAAAAUGUACCCAUCUGAUAUAUCUACUUAUAUCUACCCCAUUUAUAUAUACUUGCAAAACAAAAUUUGCAUAAAUCCAUAAAGCCGAAUAAUUGCGCUUUUAACUCAGCAAAAUCGGACUGUGAUCAAAAUGCUGAAGUAGAGCAAAACGGAACGUUCAAAAAACUGCUUGCAUCAGUUAGGAAAGAACUUUUAGAUCAAAGCUUCUAACUCGAAAAGGCCUUAAACAACACAAUCAGUGUUGGGUAAAAGAGCACAAUUAGGUGUGCUGUGCGCACACGCACGCACAUCUCAGUGUACGGUGCACAUCUCGCACUGUGCGCGCUCUACGCACUGUGCGCGCACUCCGCGCUGUGCGCGCACUCCGCACUUUUCGCACACUUCGCACAGUGCGCGCACUUUUCGCACACUCCGCACAGUGCGCGCACUUUUCCGCACAGUGGGAGCACAGUCCGGAAUUUUCGCACACUUCGCACAUUGCGAGCACACUCCGCACUUCGCACAGUGGAAGCUUCACUUGCUUCACUUUAUAGGCUACCAUAUUAUAGGAAGUCAGGUGGUGUAAUACUGAGCAUAUUUUGACAAACCGCCUUUUGUCGUACAGGUUCUCAAACCAGGUUGUAAAAUACGGGGUUUCUCUAACUAACUCAAGCUUCAACUGUAAGCUUCAUUUCCAAUUCGUAAAAUCUCAAUACAAUAUUGUCAAAUGUAUGUCGAACGUACACAAAGCAACCAAUGACAUAUCAUUAGAGUGAGAGAGAGAGAGAGAGAGAAAGAGAGAGAGAGAGAGAGAAAGAGAGAGAGAGAAAGAGAGAGAGAGAGAGAGAGAGAGAGAGAGAGAGAGAGAGAGAGAGAGAAAGAGAGAGCCCUGUCCCAUGUCACCCUUACAAAAUUUGACUACCCGCUUGGCAAAGAGUAACUCAUUUUGAUGCCUCUCGCUACCCCUGGCCUUAGUUUUAAAGGAAUCACCCCCUUCCCGCUUGGCAAAGAGUAACUCAUUUUGAUGCCUCUCGCUACCCCUGGCCUUAGUUUUAAAGGAAUCAUGCGACACACUCGUACUCCACUACCCCAUCCCAUGGAAAAACGCUCCCACCAUCGAGGUGUUGAUCAAAAUUUCGCUGUGUGCAUGAGACACACACUCACACUCCUCCAGCCCUCCACAGCUGAACGCUCCCAGAAUUUUUGCUCUGAGCGUGAGACCCUGAAGCGCAAGAGAUGACACUAUGUGUAAAGACGAUCAUAAUUCGAUAUGGUCAAAAUGCGUCGAUUGUCGUUUCAUUUAUCUGGUAAUGAUGUAUUCACUUCAUCAAAAUUUUUAACGUUAACAACUUGGCUGAUAACAAUAGUUGAAAUGUAAAUCAGAAUAAAAUCAAUUCAUGUAAAGUAAAAUAAAUUCCAUUAUACUUUAUUUUGACUACAUAAUCAACACUUGUACAUAGUGCCAUUUACUUUGUGUUGUUCACUCUCGCGCUGUGUUGUGAUCGUUCGAAACUCAUCGCCAGAACGAAUGCAAAUCUCAUUUGGGAAGGAUCGGUGCCGGUAGAUGCAGCGAAAAUUAUUAAAUGAUAAUAGAAAAGUGGUUAAGUAAAUCGUGAAGGAUGUCAACGCAGGCGUAAAUGCAGUAUGUUUUGUUACAUGAUCUACGGCUAUUUCAUUGCCAAAGCUCCUGAUAACAGAUCAAAGCAGAUGGAUCGGGCAUACAGAGUCGCCAUUUAACAUUAAAUAUCUUCUUGAUCGGCAAACUCAUCAAACAAUAAGUAUUUCUCUUCCAACAGCACGCGGCAUCGGUGGAGCAAGCAGCCAACGAUUUGAUCGCCAGUUCGCGCCAUCAAGAAUUGAUAUUUUGCCAAACAGUACUGUGAAUAAAAAACUGCACAUUUACUGUCCGAAUUUCCUGGAAUUUUUUGAUCGGUCUACGCUCGCGGGAAUGCUGGGUUCGUUGAGGAGAAGGAAAGAAAGGGUGGGAGUGAGGAUUAACCAAAAACGCGGCAUUGAGAAUGAGGGGAGGUGUGCUCAGCGCUCACGCUGGGACACUCACGAUGCUUGAAAUAAAAUGUUAACAAACAUCGAUUUCAAGCAUGCAUGUCGCGCGACAUUUUGCCAAGCGGGUAGGGCUCCGAGUGCAAAUUGUCGUUUUUGCAUUAAAACAUGCCCUGCUAUCGCAAGCCUGCGACGCGAAUAGCAUUUUUCCCGUGAAUCCAGCUGCCUGUUUUAUUGGACAAUCGCAAAGCGGUGGCCCCGAGUACAAGCACAGACACGUUUCAUCUCAGCCAAAUUCAAGAGCACACACAUCCACAUCGAUGAGAUCGAUUCUUGCAAGAAACCUCAACCCACUGAAGCGCCGUUUACCUACAUCCUUCACAGUUCAUAGUUGUUUUAAAGAGACGCGUGCUUGGUGUCAGUCGAUUUUUCCUGAUAAUUUCUCCGGCUACGGACCGCUGUGUUGAUAUUGUGUUUCGGGGCCUUUCAAUUUUUGUCUGGGUGUGUUGUAUGCAUGUGGUUGUGUAACGGGUUUUCGAUGGUGGUCAAGCGCAGCGUUCUGUGCAUUCCAUUCUCGCAGCAAAUGUCUCCGCGCGGUUUCGGUGUACUCGUGCACCGGCCAUCCACACUUGCAAAGAAUUAUGUUGUUUCUUGCUCUACGCAAUGCCUUGGGCCAACAAAAAUUGAUUACAGCAAAAUAGUAUUGAUUUCAGCGGUGCGCGCGUGUUUCAGCGUUCUGCACUUUUGUCAUGCGUAAAAGGGUGGAAAAGAAGAGCGAGGAAUGAAGUGCAGCCUCUCUCUCUCUCUCUCUCUCUCUCUCUCUCUCUCUCUCUCUCUCUCUCUCUCUCUCUCUCUCUCUCUCUCUCUCUCUCUCUCUCUUUCACUCUCUAUCUCUCUCUCUCUCUCUCUCUCUCUCUCUCUCUCUCUCUCUCUCUCUCUCUCUCUCUCUCUCUCUCUCUAAUGAUAUGUCAUUGGUUGCUUUGUGUACGUUCGGCAUACAUUUGACAAUAUUGUAUUGAGAUUUUACGAAUUGGAAAUGAAGCUUACAGUUGAAGCUUGAGUUAGUUAGAGAAACCCCGUAUUUCAGAACCUGUACGACAAAAGGAGGUUUGUCAAAAUAUGCUCAGUAUUACACCACCUGACUUCCUAUAAUAUGGUAGCCUAUAAAGUGAAGCAAGUGGAGCUUCCACUGUGCGGAGUGUGCUUGUAAUGUGCGAGGUGUGCGAAAAUUCCGGACUGUGCUCGCACUGUGCGGAAAAGUGUGCGCUCUGUGCAGAGUGUGCCAAAAGUGCGGAGUGGGCACGCACUGUGCGAAAAGUGCGCGCACAGUGCGGAGUGCGCGCACUGUGUGAAGUGUGCUCGCUUUGUGCGAAGUGUGCUCGCACAGUAUAAAGUGUGCUGUAGUGGGCACAUUGCGGUGUGAUGUGCGCACAGUGCGCACUCGCGCACAAUGCCCAACACUAAACACAAUAUACAAAAUGGUGUAUGAAUUUCCGACAAAUAUGGCCAAACCUGAAUAUCAGUGGCGCGUUAAACGGUGGGCGGCUGCCAGGGACCCCGUCAUUGUGGAUGUUCGACUUCGUAUCGAUUCUACACUCCUGCAUAUAUUGUACCCCAUGCCUUAUACACACUCAAGGAUUCUAAAAACAAACAAAAUAUUUCAAUAUGGAUCAACAUGAUGAGCGCAAUCAAUUCAGUUCAGUUCAUUCGCGAACAAUGACUAAUCCGUUUGAACGGGCUCGAUCUAUUGAAUUGUAUAGGUAUAAUUUCCAUACCAACAGAACACAGAUCGAACACAAAUAAGCCAGUUCGAACGCGUUCGAUGAAUUCAGUUGUGAAUUCAAGCGAAGAACGCUGCGACACGCGCGCACAGCUCUAAUCAAUACCUCAUCAUCGUUGGCGCAACAGAGCGAGAAACCGUCAUUUUUUGCUGGUGUGGAUGGGGUGUGCACGAGACACCCAAACCCAAAACCACGCAGAGCAACUUGCUGCUAAAAUGGAAUGCGCAGAACGCUGCGCUUAACUACCACCGAAAACCUGUUACACAACACAAGCAUACAACACACCCAAACAAAAAUUUAAAGGCCUCGAAACACGAUAUCAAUUAGGCAUGGGCAAAACGAUUCUUUUCACCGAACACGAACGAACUAGUUCGCUCACCAAAAAGAACCGAACGCGAACGACGAUUCUUUCGUUCUUUGUUUCAUGGGGUUUUUAUUCACAAAAAACGCUCGUUAUCUUUUUCAUUUACCCACCAUAGACACAUACUGUAGCCAAAGAAGUACUCAUUCUGCGGUUGAAACCAAUCAUUUAAAAACAUUAAACACUCGGCUGUCUGGUCAACACAAUCCACCGCAAAACCGACCAAAAACUAGCAUGU